UAUUUUUUAUUUAUGACAAUGUGAACUCAAAUCUGACUUUAUAUCUCUCCAGUUACAGGCUUCAGGCAUGAAAUGUGUGAAAAAGGCUGAAUAAAAUGUAGAGAUCAGUUUAAAAUGAAUAACAAUAAGCUGUUUGUCUCUUCAGGCUGAGAAUCAUCAAUAAUGCUGCUGAAGAUCAACAGGUUUCUCUCACUUGUCGAAUGUCUUCUUUCAGAUUGUGGAGGAAGCUCCUACAAGAAGCUUGAGUUUGAUCCAGAAUGGCUGGCCAUCUUGAAAGCGACAGACAACCUUCAAAAACCAUCCGCCAGUUUCUGGAACCCUCUGUUGGACAACACAGCAGACACAAAACACAUAACAACGAUUUACUGAUAGCUUUCUGAUACUGUACCCUUUUCACAAGCCUGACGUGUUUAGCUGUCUUCGGCAUCUGAAAUCCUUAAAAGUUUUUAACAUUUUGAUUUAAAAAAAAACAAAUGAACAUUUAUAUGUGUUUAUGAAUGUAUCAUAUCAUCUUGCUUCGAAUUACAAAAAAUGAAUUGUGCAAUGUGUUUUCAAUGCAGCGUCUACGAGGCUGAGAGUAAAAUGAACGCUAUUCUCUCCUCUGGCUGCUGUCAUCAGUCCCACACUAGUUUUUUCCUUUUCUGAAAGUCUUUAUAACACCAUUGUGGAGUUUGUCUGUUAUUAUUUUAUUAAGUUAUUUGUUGUACUCACUCUCCCAUUCACUGCGCUCUAAGUUUUCCCUACUAUGAUGACAGAAAUGUGAAAAGGGUCUAUUGACAACUUUGGCUUAAAAGAAUAGUUCACCCGAAAAUGAAAAUUACCCCAACAUUUACUCCAUCAUACAGUAUACCCUCAAGUCAGACUCAGGUCAGGUGUAUAAAUGUUUAUGGGGGGAUUUUUAUUUUUGGGUGACAUAUUUGUUUAACUCGUUCAUCCCAGUAGAUGUAACACAUUUACAUGACAUGCGCAAUAAAAUAAGGUCAAAUUACUG